UAACAGAGGAUAGUUUAAAAAAAAUAUUAGUUUUGGGGAUUAAAGAUGAAAAUUAUUUUCCUCU
rnacentral:tRNA from 1 species